rnacentral:rRNA from 1 species
AGUGAGGAAUAUUGCACAAUGGGGGAAACCCUGAUGCAGCAACGCCGCGUGGAGGAUGACGCAUUUCGGUGUGUAAACUCCUUUUAUAUGUCAAGAAAAUGACGGUAGCAUAUGAAUAAGCACCGGCUAACUCCGUGCCAGCAGCCGCGGUAAUACGGAGGGUGCAAGCGUUAUUCGGAAUCACUGGGCGUAAAGGACGCGUAGGCGGGAAGCCAAGUCUGAUGUGAAAUCCUAUGGCUUAACCAUAGAACUGCAUUGGAAACUGGUUACCUAGAGUAUGGGAGGGGGAGAUGGAAUUAGUGGUGUAGGGGUAAAAUCCGUAGAUAUCACUAGGAAUACCGAAAGCGAAGGCGAUCUCCUGGAACAUAACUGACGCUAAGGCGUGAAAGCGUGGGGAGCAAACAGGAUUAGAUACCCUGGUAGUCCACGCCCUAAACGAUGAACACUAGUCGUCGGGAUGCUAGUCAUCUCGGUGAUGCACUUAACAGAUUAAGUGUUCCGCCUGGGGAGUACGGUCGCAAGAUUAAAACUCAAAGGAAUAGACGGGGACCCGCACAAGUGGUGGAGCAUGUGGUUUAAUUCGAAGAUACGCGAAGAACCUUACCUAGCCUUGACAUUGAUUGAAUACCCUAGAGAUAGAGUAGUGCCCUUCGGGGAGCAUGAAAACAGGUGCUGCACGGCUGUCGUCAGCUCGUGUCGUGAGAUGUUGGGUUAAGUCCCGCAACGAGCGCAACCCUCGUCCUUAGUUGCCAGCAGGUUAUGCUGGGCACUCUAAGGAGACUGCCUUCGCAAGGAGGAGGAAGGUGAGGACGACGUCAAGUCAUCAUGGCCCUUAUGGCUAGGGCUACACACGUGCUACAAUGGGGCGUACAGAGAGUUGCGAUACCGCGAGGUGGAGCCAAUCUCAUAAAGCGUCUCUCAGUUCGGAUAGAAGUCUGCAACUCGACUUCUUGAAGCUGGAAUCACUAGUAAUCGUAGAUCAGCAAUGCUACGGUGAAUACGUUCCCGGGUCUUGUACUCACCGCCCGUCACACCAUGGGAGUUGAUUUCACCCGAAAUUGGGAAGCUAACCUUCGGGAGGCUACCACUUACGGUGGAAUUAGCGACUGGGGUG